rnacentral:rRNA from 1 species
AGAGUUUGAUCCUGGCUCAGAGCGAACGCUGGCGGCGUGCUUAACACAUGCAAGUCGAGUGCGCGUUCCUGUAGCAAUACAGGAAUGGCGCACGGCGCACGGGUGCGUAACACGUGGGUAAUCUGCCCUCUGAUGGGGAAUAACUCGCCGAAAGGCGAGCUAAUUCCGCAUAACAUUCCUUGGACUCCGGUUCGAGGAUUCAAAGGCGUAAGUCGUCGGAGGUGGAGCCCGCGCACGAUUAGCUAGUUGGUAGGGUAAUGGCCUACCGAGGCUAUGAUCGUUAGCUGGUCUGAGAGGAUGGCCAGCCACACUGGAACUGAGACACGGUCCAGACUCCUACGGGAGGCAGCAGUGGGGAAUCUUGCACAAUGGGCGAAAGCCUGAUGCAGCGACGCCGCGUGGGGGAUGAAGCUUCUCGGAGUGUAAACCCCUUUCGACCGGGACGAAUACCUCGCAAGAGGGGUGACGGUACCGGUAUAAGAAGCCCCGGCUAACUACGUGCCAGCAGCCGCGGUAAGACGUAGGGGGCCAGCGUUGCUCGGAAUUACUGGGUGUAAAGGGUUCGUAGGCGGUGUGGCAAGUCGGGAGUGAAAUCUCUGGGCUCAACUCAGGGGCUGCUUCCGAAACUGCCGUGCUAGAGUGUGGGAGAGGCGCGUGGAAUUGCAGGUGUAGCGGUGAAAUGCGUAGAUAUCUGCAGGAACACCCGUGGCGAAAGCGGCGCGCUGGACCACUACUGACGCUGAGGAACGAAAGCUAGGGGAGCAAACAGGAUUAGAUACCCUGGUAGUCC